UACGGAGGGUGCAAGCGUUAUCCGGAUUCACUGGGUUUAAAGGGUGCGUAGGCGGGCAGGUAAGUCCGUGGUGAAAUCUCCGAGCUUAACUCGGAAACUGCCAUGGAUACUAUUUGUCUUGAAUAUUGUGGAGGUGAGCGGAAUAUGUCAUGUAGCGGUGAAAUGCUUAGAUAUGUUACAGAACACCAAUUGCGAAGGCAGCUUACUAUGCGAUGAUUGACGCUGAGGCACGAAAGCGUGGGGGAGCAAACAGG
rnacentral:rRNA from 1 species